UAAUUGUUUAAUCAACCACAAAAUGUAUCUACUACUCUUAAUACACGGUUAUAUGGUAGUUGGUUUUUCUUUUCCUUUUAUGGGAGGCAAAUAAUUUUUGUCAUGAUAUGCGCGAAUCUUUCAUGAUUAUUUAUCAAAUAAACCCAUUGGAUAGUUUUCCAAUAUUUACUCUUGCGUUUUGAGUUUUUUUCCCCUUAUGCAUUUUUUUUCCUCUAAAGUUUUUGAUUGAAUUUACAACGAUGACAAUUCAAAUUUAUAUACAAAAGCUGCAACAAUCAUUGAAAAAAAUGCUAAUUUAAUUUUCUAGAUUAAAAAUAAUGAAAACAUUCACAUUACUUGAGCAAACAAAGAUUAAUUGCAUAAAUUCUCAAAUCAAAAUCUAUGCCAACUCUAUCAGAAUAUAAUGGAUCAACGAACGAAAAAAGAAAAAAGAAAAAAAUCACAGAUUUGUGUUGCCUAUUCAAGAAACAAUAAUAGCCUAUCAAUAUACUCACAAACUUAAAACCUAAUAAUAUAAAUAAUAGUUCGCAUAAUUACAUGAGCCUAGCAUGAAUGUUUGUAGAUGUACAACAUGUUGCCAAGUAUUUGGUGUAUGGUGUGAGAUGAUGAUGGUUUCUUCUCUUCUUUACUAUUUUUUCACGUUUAAUGUCUUAGAAUUGCUGAGUAGCUUCAAAUACAAAUACAACAACAAAGUCUUGUAAGUUAUAAAACUUAAAUAUUAUAAAUAAAUUAUAGCAAAAAAAGCUUUCAACUAAGAGAAGCACAUAAUAAAUGUCUGACAUAAUUUUUUUUCCUUCUACCGAAUUGCGUG
rnacentral:lncRNA from 1 species